CGCCAUUGUGUGAGAAGAAAAGACUGUGCAGAAGUUUUAGUACCGGAACCUUCUGUGAAAACGUACAACUUUGUGAUAUGACAUGUCUGUAUAUACCUGAGCAGCAUACAGCUUAUUACUGCAGAAAAGAAACAUAUAAAGAUAAUUCUGAAUCAGUCUUUUUCUAGGUUAUGUGCCAGCAUUAGCAAAGAUUUCCUAAUGAAGAUGUUAUCUUAGUAAUGGCAGUCACACACCCAACAAGAUGACUUUUCAGGAAAAUGAUAUAGAUGAUGGACUGAAAGGCCAUCAGUGAUGGAUCUUUUCUGUGUUAGUCAGGAAUAAAGUCAAGGUGGAUUUAGCCUUACUCAUUUGACUUAUCAGGAUAACUUAUUUUAUAAUCUGAUAUUUUAUAGUUGUCAUUAUAAUUUGAGAUAUUCAACAGAAUCUACCCAGAUACAGUCAUAACAAAACACACUGUCUCCAUCUAGUUCUAAGUGUUAUAUCACAUUAUAAUUUGUAAUUUUACAUGUAUCUAACAUCAAAUUACAUCAUUUGAAAGUAAAGCAUUUUUGGGAAAAGAUCUAUUUAAAUAAUUAUAUUCUUGUGUGCUUGUUCUUUCAUGAACACCUGGGGUAAAGUUUGGUAGACACAUUAAGCACGACUUUACAAUGUGCUAAAUGCUGUUUAUUUGAUAGCUGUUUUUUUCCCCAUUUUUUUGUAUGCAGAACAUGCUAAAGAACUUUUCUGUUUACCACAUAAAUGUAUUAUCUAUUUUAUAUUAACAUAAAUUAUUUGUUUCGUUUCUUAUUGUCUGGAACUGACAAUUUUAUGUUUGGAUAUGAAUCACUAAUAAUUGCACUGCUUUUCAGAUGUAAUAUCAGACUAAAAUGAAAUGAGAGUGAUAACUACUUCACAUUUAGUUGGACUAGGGCGAAACUAAAUGCUGGCACAAGUUCAACGUGUGAUGUAAAAGUAAAAGCAGAAUGACUAGAGACCAGUAACUUAGAACAGAAUUGAAGAAAUGCAGGUCUUUGUUCUAUAUGGUGAAUUAGGAAAAUAUAGAGGAUUUUUGGAUUUAUCAGUGAAACCUGUGAAGUGAUAGUGAAGCAGAAUAGUUACAAAUCAUAAGAGAUGUGGGUCUUAGUUCAGUAUGGUGUAUAUGGGAAACAUAGUGGAUGACCAGUGUAGAAAACAUACCAAAGAAAUAUAUAUCUGCUGUAUGCCACAGACAAACCAAGAAGUGGGAUAGAGCUAUCUGCAGUAUCACAUAGACACACCAAGAAGUGAGUUAGAGCUAUCUGCAGUAUGCCACAGACAAACCAAGAAGUGAGGUAGAGCCAUCUUCAGUAUGCCACAGACAAACCAAGAAGUGAGGUAGAGCUAUCUUCAGUAUGCCACAGACAAACCAAGAAGUGAGGUAGAGCCAUAAAUUCACCAAGAAGUGAGUUAGAGUUAUCUGCAGUAUGCCAUAGCCACACCAAGAAGUGAGGUAGAGCUAUCUGCAGUAUGCAUUAGACACACCAAGAAGUGGGGUAGACCUAUCUGCAGUAUGCCAGGAGAAGUGAGAUAGAGCUAUCUGCAGUAUACCACAGACAAACCAAGAAGUUCACAUUGUUUUGCACAGAUUUGUGUUCCACAUGUAUCACCUUGAAGGGAUUUUCAUAGAAAAGGUGUUGACUUAAGAUACAAUCUCCAGAGGAAAUUUGACGAGACAAGGGUCACAGUUGAAAAUUCUGACUUUGUAGUAGAUCGCAUAGCAACACAUAUUCUCCAGUCCAGAGCAGAUGGAACUGUAUCAAAAUAUUCCUAUCAGGUGAAGGCUUUCAAAGAUUUCUGCGAAAGUAAAAGCAAACCCAGCUCAGUCAAUUCACGUUGCUAUGUACCUUUCAAAUUUAAUGGACAUUGGCAAAUCACACAAAGUUGUUACGCCAGCUUUUUACGCUAUAAAGUGGUUACAUAAUAUAAUCGAUUUUGAAGAUCUAAGCGAAAACACAAUAGUGAAAAGCAAGUUGGAAUGUGCCAAAUGAAUAAACUAAAGCAAUAGUCAAAAGGGACAUUGUUUCAUCGCAGCAUUUGAUUAACCUCUGUGACAAGUACACAAAUAAUACAGAUGUUAUUGUACUGAGAGACUUAUCAAUGAUUUUAUUGGCUUACGCAAAGUAAGCGACUUAAGAUGUUGCGACAUAACAUUCAGUUCAGAUUAUAUAGUUGUUCAUAUUAAGCGUAGUAAAACAGAUUUUUAUAUAGCUGGUAGAGAUGUAUUCAUUUCUAUAGGUUCCACUAGUGUAUGCACAGUAUCAAUACUGAAAUACAUGCCGUUCGCUAAGCUCCGCAAUGAUUCAGAAGUAUAUUUAUUUUAACCCGCAUGCAGAUCAGGGUUGAAAUUCUUUUUACUUAACAAGAAUAAAAAACUUAGUUAUAUUUGUGCUAGAAAGUGUAUUGUCCAAACAUGAAGGCCAGUAGCACCUGACUUGAAAUUAGGUACCCACACAUUACGUGCUAGUGCAGCCACUACUGUUGCAAACACAAGUGAUGUUUCAGAGCAUUGUAUUAAACGCCAUGGUAGAUUGAAAACAGAUGUUUCCAAAUAUUUAUAAAUUGAUGAUUCAAUUGAAUAGAGUUUAGUUACAUAUUACCAAGCAAUUAAUAUUGUAGAAACGUUAAGUAUAGAAAAUGGCAGUGACUAGUUUAUUAUGUAUUGUUCACAGUAAUUUUUCGAAUUUAUAAAUGCUGUGCUAACCUUUUAUCGUUCUGUAGAGGUUUUGUGUUGAUUAUUUUGUACGCAGGUGCAUUGAGACGUUUCAACGUAAUUGUAGUACAAUGGGCGGUUCAGUGAAGUGUAAAGUCAUGUAACGAAGAUUGGUUUACUGGAGGGAAAAUCCAGUUCAAGGAUUGACUUUGGCUACGUAACACGACUUUUCAAAUUCGAAAAAUUUGUGAUAAUGUACUUACAUAUAUGUAAAGAUUUAUAGUAAUUGCAGAUGUAUUCAUUUUAUGAAAGUUAUUUGCAUACUCGUCCGCAUAAUUCUGAUAUUCGAAAUAUAUGCGAUAAUGUACUUGCAUAUAUGUAAAGAUUUAUAGUAAUUGCAGAUGUAUUCUUUUAAUGAAAGUUAUUUGCAUACUCGUCCGCAUAUUUCUGAUAUUCCGAAGAAUGAACUAGGGUUUAUAUGUUUAGUUAAACCCUACGUGCAUACGAUAUGGUCACACUUUUUCUUUUUUUUUUUGUUGUUGUUGUUGUUGUCUUGCCUCACAGAGGUUUUGGUUUGUUGGCGGCUGUCAUUCCUGUGACAAAUAUUCAGUGGAAUCUGUCAUACUUACAGCGUAUAGUUUAUAGAAGCAUGAAAUAAAAUUGUUACAAAGUUAUGUGUUUUUAGCUCACCUGUCACGUACUGACAAGGUGAGCUUUUGUGAUUGUCCGUCGCCUGUCGUAUGUUGUCCGUCCGUCCACAAUUUCUUGUGAACACGAUAGAAACCACAUUUUGCACCCGAGUUCAAUCAAACUUGUAUAUAACUUGUAUUGGCAUAUUAUCUCGAUUUCUGACGAAAACUGGCCAGAUACCAUAAUGGGUUUUAGAGUUAUGGCCCCUUAUAGGGACAAAAUUUGCUAUUUUUGGCUUGUGAACACAAUAGAGACCACAUUUUGCAAUCAACUUUAAUUAAACUUGCACACUACUUGUAUUGGCAUAAUAUCUCAUCUCCUUUCGAAAACUGGCCAGAUCCCAUAUGGGUUCCUGAGUUACGGCCCCUUAAAAGGCCAAAAUUUGCUAUUUUUGGCUUGUGAACACAAUAGAGACCACAAUAAACUUUAAUCAAACUUGCACACAACUUGUAUUGGCAUAAUAUCUCGGUUCCUUUAAAAAGUUGGCCAAAUCCCAUUAUGAGUUCCAGAGUUAUUGCCUUUAAAAGGCCAAAACUUUCUAUUUUGGCUUUUGCAGCCAAAUAGAGACUUUAUUUACGAUUUGAUUUUAUACAAACUUGCAAAAUAUCUUUAACAACAAUAAAUCUUGGGCUCCGUGAUGAAUCCGUCAGAUCCAAUCAUAGGCGGCACCUGAAUGACCCCUGAAAGAGCCAAAAUUUGUUAAUUUUUACCUUGUGAACAGGAUAGAAGUGACAUUUUAUAUUUGAUUUUAACCACACUUACACACAACUUAAAUCACAAUAAGAUCUUGUUUUUGUUUUGUUUUGUUUUUAAAACCAGCUAGAUUCCAUCAUGGGUUCUAGAGUUACUGCCCUUGAAAGGGACAAAAGUUUCUAUUUUGGCCCUUUCAGCCAUAUGGAGGUUUCAUUUAUGAUUUGAUUUGAUACAAACUUGCACAGAAUUAUUAUCUUAAUGAUCUCAAGGCCUGGAUAAAAACUGCAUCUUAUCGGAUCAAAAACUAGGUCAUCGGGUCAAAUCAAAGGAAAAGCUUGUUAACAACCUAUAGGCCACAUUAAUGACCCUAUCUUCAUGAAACUUGGUCAGAAUGUUUAUCUUGAUGAUUUCAAGGCCAAGCUUGAAAUUGGGUCAUAUGGGGUCAAAAACUAGGUCACCCGGUCAAAUCAAAGGAUAAGCUUGUAAACACUCUUGUUCAUUUGAUGUGCAUGAAACGUGGUCAGAAUGUUUGUUUGCAUGAAAUAUUGAUAUAUAUGUAUGAAUUUUUAUCUGGGUCAUGUGGGGUAAAAAAACUAGGUCACCCAGUCAAAUCAAAGAAUAAGCUUGUUUACACUUUAGGGGCACAUUUUUAUACGCCCGAAGGGACGUAUUAUGUUAUGGUCCCGGUGUCCAUCCGUCCGUCCAUUAGCAAUUUCAUGUCCGCUCUGGAACUCUUGAACCCCUUGAAGGAUUUCAAAGAAACUUGACACAAAUGUUCACCACACCAAACGACGUGCAGAGGGCAUGUUUUGGAUGACUCGCUUCAAGGUCAAGGUCACACUUAGGGGUCAAAGGUCAAAUAUGACUUUGCUUUGUGUAUAUUGCUCUGCAUUGCAGUGCUCUUGUUUUUAUUUGGCAAAAUACCUUUUGUUCUCUUACAAUAAUUUUUUUUUGAAUUACUUCCCUUUUUUAUUAUUAUAAAUAGCUUAUUUUGAAACUUGUUUUAUUAUUGGCAGUAGGGAAAAACUGAGACCACUUUUCUGUGGUACAACAUGGAUGGUACAUCCAGUUUUUAGAUGUAUUUUGACAUAACUUUAACUAUAUAGUAAGAAUUUUUUCUUGGACUUGGACAUUUUCUUUUUUUGGAAUUUCUUCUUUUUGUUGUUCCUGUCCUUUGGGCUUCAACAGUCAAGUUCUUUAAAUUUUGCUCCUAUCCUCUGAUGUAACCCUUCGGGCGUAUAUUGCCCCGCUUGGCGGCGCUCUUGUUUAUUCUAUCGUCAUAAAACUUUGUCAUGUUUGUUUUCAUGAAAUUUUGGACAAGUUCGAAUCUGGGUCACAAGGUCAAAUGAAAGAAAAGGCUUGUUUACACCCGAGAGGCCACGUUUUUUGGUCCAAUCUUAAUGAAAAUUUGUCAGAAUAUUCGUCUGCAUGAAAUCACUAGGUAAGAUCCGACCUAGGUAUGCAAUUUAUAUUUGUUACAGACUGAAAUCUCUUGUAUCGUGUGACUGCUCCUUCGUCCAACAUAAAAGUCUUGCCCACUGUAAUUUGUGUUUAUUUUGUUGUAGGCAGGUGCAUUGAGACAUACAUGUAUUAUUUCUUAAGUAUACAAUAACAUGUCUUACCAGAUUAAUAACUUUUAUCUUGACAAAUGUAAUGUUGUGCUUUUUAGCUCGACUAUUCGAAGAAUACUCUGGGGAGCUAUCCUACUCGCCCCGGCGUCGGCGUGAGUGUUAGCGUGAGCGUCACACAAAUGUUAAAGUUUGCAUACCACCCCAAAUAUUUUCAAAGUCCAUUGAGAUAUUGCUUUCAUAUUUUGCAUACUUGUUUACCAUCAUGACCCCAGUCUGUAAAAAGGAGGAGGCAACUCUAUCAAGCAUUUUGACUGAAUUAUGGCCUCUUUUCGACUUAGAAUAAAUGUUAAAGUUUGCGUACCACCCCAAAUAUUUUCAAAGUCCAUUGAGAUAUUGCUUUCAUAUUUUGCAUACUUGUUUACCAUCAUGACCCCAGUCUGUAAAAAGGAGGAGGCAACUCUAUCAAGCGUUUUGACUGAAUUAUGGCCCCUUUUCGACUUAGAAUAUGCUUACUGUAAUGUUAAAGUUUUACUCAUUGCUUAUAUUAUACUAUCAAGCACUGAGAAUAGUCGAGCGCGCUGUCCACUGACAGCUCUUGUUUUAUUAUACCCCGAAAACAUGUUUUGAGGGGAGGAGUCAGUUUUGUUGCGUCCCAUCCUAUCCUGUCGCGUCCCAAAAUCUAUUAUCUCAGUUAUUACUAAAUGGAUUUGAUUCAAACUUAAAAUAGAUGUUCCACCUUAUCAUCCACAUCAUGUGAGACAAGGUGCAUAACACUGACACCAUUUUUUCAUGAAUUAUGCCCCCUUUUACUUAGAAUUUAAGGUUAAUUUUGAUGCAUUUUCACUAUAUCGCAGUUAUUAUGUCUCCACACACACUGGGGUAGAAAUAUUGUUUUUGCCCUGUCUGUCUGUCCAUAUGUCAUACUUCAUUUCCAAUCAAUAACUGGAGAACCAUUUAACCUAGAACCUUUAAACUUCAUAGGAUGGUAGGGCUGCUGGAGUAGACGACCCCUAUUGUUUUUGGGGUCACUCCAUCAAAGGUCAAGGUCACAGGGGCCUGAACAUUGAAAACCGUUUCCGAUCAAUAACUUGAGAACUACUUGACCCAGAAUGUUGAAACUUUAUAGGAUGAUUUGUCAUGCAAAGUAGAUGGCUCCUAUUGAUUUUGAGGUUACUUUA